rnacentral:rRNA from 1 species
UGGGGGGGCGUGCUAAUACAUGCAAGUCGAGCGAACAGACGAGGAGCUUGCUCCUUUGACGUUAGCGGCGGACGGGUGAGUAACACGUGGGUAACCUACCUAUAAGACUGGGAUAACUUCGGGAAACCGGAGCUAAUACCGGAUAAUAUUCGAACCGCAUGGUUCGAUAGUGAAAGAUGGCUUUGCUGUCACUUAUAGAUGGACCUGCGCCGUAUUAGCUAGUUGGUAAGGUAACGGCUUACCAAGGCAACGAUACGUAGCCGACCUGAGAGGGUGAUCGGCCACACUGGAACUGAGACACGGUCCAGACUCCUACGGGAGGCAGCAGUAGGGAAUCUUCCGCAAUGGGCGAAAGCCUGACGGAGCAACGCCGCGUGAGUGAUGAAGGUCUUCGGAUCGUAAAACUCUGUUAUUAGGGAAGAACAAACGUGUAAGUAACUGUGCACGUCUUGACGGUACCUGAUCAGAAAGCCACGGCUAACUACGUGCCAGCAGCCGCGGUAAUACGUAUGGUGGCAAGCGUUAUCCGGAUAUUAUUGGGCGUAAAGCGCGCGUAGGCGGUUUUUUAAGUCUGAUGUGAAAGCCCACGGCUCAACCGUGGAGGGUCAUUGGAAACUGGAAACACUUGAGUGCAGAAGAGGAAGAGUGGAAUUCCAUGUGUAGCGGUGAAAUGCGCAGAGAUAUGGAGGAACACCAGUGGCGAAGGCGACUUUCUGGUCUGUAACUGACGCUGAUGUGCGAAAGCGUGGGGAUCAAACAGGAUUAGAUACCCUGGUAGUCCACGCCGUAAACGAUGAGUGCUAAGUGUUAGGGGGUUUCCGCCCCUUAGUGCUGCAGCUAACGCAUUAAACUCUGCCCCUGGAGAGUAACACCACAAGGUUGAAACUCAAGAGAAUUGACGGGGCCCCGCACGAGCGGUAGCACAUGGGGUAUAAUUAAAAACAACGAGAAGAACCUUCACAUAUUUUCACCUCCUUUGCCCUUUAGAGAGAUAGAAUUUUCCCUUUCGGGGGACAAAGUCACAGGGGGCACAGGGGUGUUCUCAUCUCGUGUUGAGAGAUUUGGGUUUAAGUCCCACAAAGAGCGCACCCUUUAAGUUUAGUCCCCCUCAUUAAGGGGCGCACUAAAAGUAGACCCCCGGUGACUGCGAAACCGGGAGAAGGGGGGGAAGAUGUCAUAUCCUCAUGCCCUUUAAGAUUUGGGCCACACACGUGAUACAAUGCACAAUAAAAAGGGGAUAAAAACCGAGAUGUCAAGAAAAUCCCAAAAAGUUGUUCACAGUUCGUAGUGUUGUGCAAAUCUAGAAUACAUGGAGGGGGUAUCGCUUGUUAUUGUAGAUGCGCGUGAUGGUGAGAAUAUUUUCCCGUGUCGUGUACACCCCCCCUCUCACCCCAAGAGAGUGUGUCACCCGAGACGGCGGGGGAGUACCCAUAUGGAGCUAGCCGUCGAAGGUGACAAAAU